rnacentral:lncRNA from 1 species
CAAGCGUUCUGCUGUUAACUAUCAAUAGAGCUCGUUCAAAGCUUUCCUCUUUUUUCUUAACCCUUUUGUCCUUUCUGAUAACGAGUUUGCGUAUCUUCUUACGAUGGAGAGGCCAAGGUUCAUGCGCAGGCUCCUUAGAAGUAGAAGACACAGUAGUUUCUUUUGGCAAAGCUUCACCAGUAAUGCCAACAGGCUCACUUUUUUCUUCGCUUAGUUCAUCUUCCAAAUCGGAUUUGUUCUGUUCCCGGUCUGCCCUUUUUGCUUGAGAAUCAUAAAGUCGUAAUUUAGAUACAUGCUUGUGCAAGGGAAUCGUAGCAGACUGAUUCACCGAUGGAAGAAGGCCCCAGUCACCAACUUGCCAGUUAGCAUGAGUGAAAGAUGACAACAACGUCAAGUUACUUGGACUCUGCUCCUCAGGUGGGGAGACAGCAGAAUCUGGCCCAAAGCCAGCUGAAGCAAUCCAGUAGACAAAAAUAGAUCCAGCGGUGACUUUAGUCACAGUACCUUCUAAGCGAUUGGGCUUCCACAAUCCAGACAACCAACGGGAACUCUUGAAAACCGACGAGGAGGUUGCUUUGACACGCUGGCCCGGGUAAUACGGAAAGUUUGCGUCUUCUUCAAGGUUACUCUGGGAAACAGGUUUGAGUUGAAGAGGCUCAGCACGUAGGACUCUACACAUGGAUCCAUCAUCGAACAACACAGUCACAUUGUCCAACACAUCAUCGAUCCUACCUAGCCAUGGGCCGUGAACCACAUAAUCACCAACACAAAAAUCCCUGACGCGUUUCAAUUCUUUUGUCGAGAUGUCCUUGUGGGUAGAACCAUCCAGAGCCAAUAAAUCUACCGACAUGUCUACAUCCACUACUACUCCCACCUGCCCAGUUGGGUCAGAAGAUGAAGCAACAUAGUCUCCGUGUAAGAAACCACGAUCUACAACUGUUACAUUGUUCACAUCCUGAACUGGCUCGGUGUCGUCCAUCCACAGAACACGAAUCUGGUCACCCUCAAGAGUACCACAUUUGUAGUUUUUCUCUCCACGACCAACAUUUUCCUCGUUGGCAUUUUUCCCUUCCUCUUCAGCCCCAUCAUCAUCAUCAUUAUCAUCGUCCUCAUCAUCAUCACCAUCAUUUUCCUCAUCGCUAAUAUCACUUUCAGAGUCAGAAUCACCAGCAACUUCACUCACAACCCCAAUACUACCUGUCUUGUUGUUUCUCACAAUAUCGUGUCUAUAAAUGUUGGGAUGCUCGUUGCUUCCUGAAUCAUCAGCCUUAUCUAUACGACUUGGAUCAUCACAUAUAGGCUCACUUUCCAAUGAACCAUCAAGUGGCAAGUCAACCCCAGGGUCAUCUUGCUCAUGCUCCAUCUGAAACAAAAAAGUGCCUAUAUGAUGAGAGUCUUCAACAAUCCAAAGUAAUAGCAAAAAAAAAAAAAGUCAAAGCGAAAACAAAAUGAUUUAUUAAACGAAGCUAAAUAGCUAAAGCAUGUCCAUAGAACAUUCCGAUGAUUCAUAACAGAAUCAUCCCACCUUCAACAGAACAUUUCGAUGAUUCGUUAAGCUACGAAUAGCUAAUAAAGAUUUUACGAGGAAAAUAAUCACAUUUAGCUCGCCGAUGAAAUGUUCGAUAGAUUCAAACAGAUGACGAAUCGAUAGAGAAGCGAGUACCAAGUUCGGAAAGCAAAGAGGAGGAGAUUUCAAUUCUAUUCUCGUUCGAUCUUAUGUGCAAUAAUGUUCGAUCUUCCUCUGGGGAUGGAUUGUUUCUCUCAAGCUCGGAGCGGCGUCAAGGAAGGAUAUAUUCGUCACUAAUGUAUCUUCACGUCUUUCUCUCUUCCUUUUUUCUUGACAUUCCACCCGCAUUACCGAUGAUCCAAACUAUUCAAUCUGGGCCCUUGGAUUUUUGCUUACCUUGUCGCCCGGUUCACGCUUCCUAUCCAAACCAAACCGAUUUUAAAUUCGAAUUGUUUACCUAACCGGGGAAGUAUUCAUCUACAAGACUACAACCUACCAUUUCUUUUGAAAUCAUAUGUUAAAAAAAAAUGUAUGUAUUUUCAAAAUUACAGCAAUGUAUUCCAUUAUUUUAAGAUAUAAUUAUCAUAAACCAAAACAUUUGAAAAAAAAAAAAUCAAAAGAAAUUGUAAUUGUAACCGGAAUAUCCAAAAUUUUCUAAUCAGUUUAUACAAACAUGACAAUAUACAAACGAUAAGGGUCUUGGCUAGUAGAUUUUUUUUAAUGAUAGGGUAUGAAACUAAUAUAUUUGUUAUUAACUACUUAAAGAAUGAUUAUGACUUGGUGAUUAGGCAGAGUUCAGAUCAUUAUAAUAAGGCAGAGUGAAAGACCAAUUCCAACAAAAAAAUAUAUGAAUAUAUACAAACCAAAAUAGUCAACUUUCUUUUGGUUUCGAACCGAAUAUAAAGAGUCGAAACAUUCUUAUGGCCUAAAAUAUUAAAUUGAACCUAAAGAAAGGUAUCAAUGAAAGUAACCAAACACACAAUUUCGAAUGUUUAAUAAUGUAAGAAGCGGGUGAAAGCAUAAACAAUAGACGUGACACAAGCCAUACGACAAGCUUUCAUUAUCUUAAAUACCAUCUUCAUUGAUGCUUUUAAAAACAAUCCUAAAAUCUCUCUCGGCUUACAUUCUCAUGAAUCUAUCAACUACUUCCAACUCCAAGUUUCACGAUUACCUCGGGAUUAACCCAACUAUAACCAUCGAAGACGCUCUGCACGAUUCAAAGAACUUUAACAAGAUGGACGAAGACAAGCGAGCUUACAACGCCAAGCAGCAGGCUCUAAAGCCGACGGCAUCGAAGACAUCAGACGCCCAAGAGCCACGACAGCACGUCCCUUACAAAAAGAAAGGACACGUCUAUGCGAUCUCCGAGGAUGAUCAAUCUGGUGUAGUUGCUGCGGUACGUGAUCCAGGGUGGAACGUAUGGGAACGCGAUACCGAAAGAAAAAACGCAGCAGUCCCGCAAGCCCGCAUCCGCCAACUCUAAGAACUCAUACGACCAGAACAAGUUCUGCAAGUACCAUGAUAUGAGAGGUCAUGACACCAAAGAAUGCAGACACCUCUACGAGGCAUGGCUCGCCUCCACCAACGACAGUCGCACUGAGGUUGAACCACCGAAACCAAAAACAGUAAAAGUUGGAGCAAGAGCAAGGACAAGAAGAAAAAGUCCAACGAAAAAAGGAAGAAGACUCCCCUCCGGCAGACGAUGGCGACCAAUCACAUCAUGACGAGGAGUCAACCUCCGACGAAGAAAAACCGAAAGCUCGGCGAAAGAUUUUCAAAAUCCGAGCCACGCCAUCCCUUGCCCCAUCCACAACGGCAAAGCCGGAGGACGAUCUACGUCAAUCACUCAACCAAAAAUCAGGGAAGACGAUCGAAAGCCUCACACCCACCAACAGCACGAUUAUGGAAAUCGAUGGCACACCGCUUAGGAUCAGUCGUUCCAUAAGGAAGCUCAAUGUUUCAGACGCUCGACACGUCCUAGACGCCAAGAGAAAGGACCCACUCCACCGGCAAGACGAACUUAAACGGGAGCUGUGGUUAAACAAUCAAUCUGAUUGUAUCGAGACGACUGAUCUCCGAAUUAAGCCCAACUCGAAGAUCCUGGAUCAUCGCGAAAAACUCAAACGAUGCAAGACUGACCGUUCCAAAGCGGAGCCAGAACGAACGAACAAACCUGCUUAAUGAAGAAACAAUGACCAAAUCUAUAUGGUUCUUUUUUUCCUUCAUUUUACAGAAAAACGACAGCGAGAUGGUGCCAGCUGAACAUGUGAGGAACUCGUUGCUGGAAAUAACCAGGAACACAUCUAGAGGAUGGCAUGAUGAUCAGAUGGCAACUGGCUCCAUGCAAAACGAAAAGAACGAAGUUGACUAUCAACACUAUGAUGAUCACCACCAUCACGGCGGUCAUCAACUACAUGAUCAUCAGAUGAACCAGAGCGCUCACCAUCACCACCAUCACCACCAACACAUCAACCAUUACCAAAACCAAUAAGGAACAUGUUCCCUGAGCUACCAAGAUGUGUUUCUUUACAUGAGAAAGAAACAUUAAAAUCUGCGCAAAUACACUUCAAAGGUCUUUUUCCAUUUCAUCAGAUAAUAAAAAAAGGAAUGACAGUUCGAGAGAAAUUCCUGUAUCCAAUACUAUAAACCAAAGGACUGCGGUAGAUUCACAUGGACCAUAUACUAUAAAAGCAAAACAACUUCACUUGAAAUAAUCUGUCUGAAGUUAAUUAUCCAUAUGACAAAACAAGUGUUGUAGUGUACACCCCUAAAACUUUUAAGCAAACUCCAAAACAGCCAAAAAAACCUUUGUCAAUAUUGCUGGAGCAGAUGGGGUUACAACUCAGGAACAUGCAAUUCUUGCAUAACUCAAAAAAAGACUGACACGCACAUUUCAGACAUAUCUGAGUUCAAAACUUGUAAUAAUAAAGAAGCCACAAACCUUCACUUGGUUAAUUGGCAAUAUAAUUGGUGUAUAUCCUUUGAGGCUUGUGUUAUUGCUGCUGCUGAAGAUGCUUGAAUUCAUUGCAGUCAGCGCCUACCUCACUCAGCGCUGUGAAUAGCUUUGGCGCAAUCUUAGCCAACAUAAGCUUAAAACCAACCGAAUUUGAAUUAGCACUGCAGCUUACAUCAAUAACCGAGGCAUCUUUGCUGAGAGAACCUAUUAGAUAUCCUUUCAUGUAGGCGUCACAUGCCUUCAAGAUGUAAUAACCGCGUUUUCUGAAAUGAUCUUUGAUGAGUUUGUCAAAGGUAAAUGAAUUCUUUCCGAUAAGAAGUUACCAAUCAUGAAACACUGGCGAAUGAUUUAACUGCAAAUCUACACAAUCUUACCUGGAAGAUUGUUCUGAAGUAUUUUCCAGUCUUGAUCAACCUUUUUGAACCACCGUCUUUCCUUUGUUUUCUGCAAGUUUGAUACGACACUUUAAUAUUCAAACUCAAGUCUCAAAUAUCAACUGUAACGUGAAGAAACCGUUUUCUACGGGAAUCAUCUGAAGUGUAAAGUACUUGACCUACCUGCUCAUCUGAGCCAAGAUAAGGUUGUGCCUAACAACAAUAAUAGAAACUAGAAACUCUUACCGGUGGCACACUAGGGUAGUCGGAUGGAAGGUGAAAAUCAAAAAAGAAGAGACCAUCUUGGUAUGGUGUUCCAUAAGCCCCAGCUAUAACCGCCCUUAACAGAUCCAUUCGAUCUUCGUAAACUCGAACAAAUAUUCCAUCUGUUAAAGGUAAAUGAAUUUCUUUCCAAUAAGAAGUUACCAAUCAUGAAACACUGGUGAAUGAUUUAACUGCACAUCUAUACAAUCUUACCCGGAAGAUUGUUCUGAAGUAUUUUCCAGUCUUGAUCAACCUUUUUGAACCACCGUCUUUCCUUUGUUUUCUGCAAGUUUGAUAAGACACUUUAAGAUUCAAACUCAAGUUUCAAAUAUCAACUGUAACGUGAAGAAACCGUUUUCUACGGGAAUCAUCUGAAGUGUAAAGUACUUGACCUACCUGCUCAUCUGAGCCAAGAUAAUGGUGGUCCAGAGGAUCUUGUGAUAUAUCAAAGCGUUUGAAACUGCAACUAUCACUUUCAGAAGGUAUUGGCUCUUCAGAUUUUUCACCCUCUGAUCUUUCCACUGCUUCAUUUUCUAAAACUGUGCCCUCUGAAUCAUAGUUAUCAGUGGCACUGAAAUUUGUAGGACUAUGAUCAUCAAGGAAAGAACCCCUCUCCUGGGAAGAGUUCGUCACUUCAGCCUGCUUAUAUCCAUUGUCAUCUGUGAGACUAGAACUGGAAGAAUCUUCAGUUUUCUGUCCACGUGAAAAGAUUCCACUAGCCAUUCGAGUCACGAAUUCAACUGCAGCUAGUGGGAGAGCCAGGGCACCAUUCCUCCCAGAAUCAUUCUCACCAUUGUUUUCUGCAUCGGAGUUUUCCUCAAGAAAACUACCCCUUCCAAGAUCCUGUAAAUCAACGAUUCUCAUUAAUUCGUAGAAAAUGACUGUGCAACAUAAUGUUCUGGGUUAGGCAAAAAGAACCAGUAACGUUUUCUUAACAAAACAAACCUCUUCAGGAGCACCUCCCUUGUCGUCAUCGUCUACAGUUUCCCAACUAGCAGCAUCACUUGCUUCACUUUCUGCAGCAAUUGAUUCAUCAUCGUCCCGACCAACUACAUAAAUUGCUUGAGGGCCAACCUAGGAGAAACCAAAAGAAAAUGAAAAGUAAAAUUAAUAAAUACUUAGCCUUGUUUGCAGGAAAAGUGCCAUAAAAAAUAGAAGAGUUUAUUCUCGCUCGUAAGUCGUAAAAAAGAGCUAAUUUGCAUAUAUUAUAUACUAGUCUCCAAAUCAUUCCUUCCGAUAGGUAAUAAACUCUCUAACUUAUGCAUCAACGUUUUUCUAGGCAAAAACAAGAACAAAGAGUUCUAAACUAGAACAUCAAGUGUAGUAAAGCACUCAAACAUUUGCACAUGUUCCGAAUCGUAUAAUGAGGAAAAGCCAGACCAGCAAGGGGUUUGUAAGUGAAUAGAUUAGUUGAGGUGGACGUACCGUUGAGACCAUUCCAUCAGCCCAUGUUACUUCAAUAUCACCAUCCUUAAGGCCAGUAAUAUUUCCAACCCAUGAGAGCUCUGAAAGGUUCAUAUCAACAUCAUUUUGUUCCUUAUCACGGACUAUAGCUUCUUGAUGAUAUUCUGCAUCUUGGUGCCCAUUGUCUUGCUCUGUUGCCUCAGAAGAUGCUGGUAAGGCCAUGGUAACAGGCGAUAAUCGAACAACAAUAUCCCCAUAACAGUAGUCAUAAUCGGGAUGAACCUCUAGCUCAUAAACACUUGCAAUUUCUUCCUUGUCAAACUCACGGGGUUCUUCUGCCGUUAGACGUGGCUUCAACCAUCUAACAGAAGCAGUACGUUCUUUUGCAUUGACACUUUUAACAACCCCAACACGCUUAGGUUCAGUUGUGUUAUCAUCUUCAUCCGAAGCCUUCUCCACCACAUACUGCUCAGGGACAAAUUCUUGAUCGCCAGGGGUCUCAAUCGGAAUCAAUGUUGUUGCUUCCCGUCUAUAUUCAACUGUACCAUCCUGCCAGGCUACAUCAACAAGCGUUCUGCUGUUAACUAUCAAUAGAGCUCGUUCAAAGCUUUCCUCUUUUUUCUUAACCCUUUUGUCCUUUCUGAUAACGAGUUUGCGUAUCUUCUUACGAUGGAGAGGCCAAGGUUCAUGCGCAGGCUCCUUAGAAGUAGAAGACACAGUAGUUUCUUUUGGCAAAGCUUCAGCAGUAAUGCCAACAGGCUCACUUUUUACGCUUACUUCAUCUUCUAAAUCGGAUUUAUUCUGUUCC